rnacentral:rRNA from 1 species
UACGUAGGAGGCAAGCGUUGUCCGGAAUUACUGGGCGUAAAGCGCGUGUAGGUGGUGGGACAAGUCUGCUGUGAAAGCGCCUGGCUUAACCGGGCGAGGUCGGCGGAAACUGUCGCACUCGAGGACGGUAGAGGGGGGUGGAAUUCCCGGUGUAGUGGUGAAAUGCGUAGAGAUCGGGAGGAACACCUGUGGCGAAGGCGGCCCCCUGGGCCGGCUCUGACACUGAGACGCGAAGGCGUGGGGAGCGAACGGG